GAAAACCAUUAAAAUUGGGACAGAGUUUGUGUGCUCUCUUAUUGCCCCUUGUCGUCCUGAGCAAGUGGAGCAUGGCACAGUUAGCUAUCUGGGCCAGAGAUUCUGAAACACUCUUUACUUUGGCCUGAAGCCACCUCUGACAUACUGCAUUUCAGCCUGGUGCUUCUGAACCACCUCAGCAUGCCAGGAAGAAGGGUUAAUAUAGAAAGCAAGGCCUAAACAUUUAGCCAAAGUCUUAAGUCAGCCCAAGUGCUCAGAAAAACAGAGAUAUAGACACAGCCUAGAUAACAGCAGCUGUAUGUGAACACAGGGCAGGAAAAGAUGAGUGAGCUCAUUCAUAAAACUUAAAACUCUAUGGUGAUAAUACUCACAGGUGGCUGGAGAUGGGAGAGCAAAGGCCUUCCAAGGUACAAACGAGGGCUCAGAAUUGAGUUAAUCUGGGUCCAAGCUCAGCUCAUGCGCAGCCCAUGACUAUUCUCACCUCACAGUGAUGGAUUAGUCUUGUUUCUUGUCUUGAAUCAAUUAGUAAUGAGCAUUACACUUUCAUACAAUAAUCAUGCCAAGGAUUCAUGUAAGAUUUGCAAGUUUGUUAUGCAGAUUAUGUAGUUUUUAAUGUGAAAAAGCUUUACACAAACACCUGGCAUUUAAGUAUUUCCCAAGCCUGUGAAUGGAAAAAGACACCGUGCCUUAUAAUAAAGUAACAAACCUUGUUAAUGGCUCAGGCAAGGAUAGGAAUGUGCCUUGCCUAUCUGCCUCCAGGCUGUGAGAACACCUAAGAGACUUUGCUACCUUCAAAGUGGGAGCUAGCAAACAAUGACCUGAUGACAGGAAGGAUGAGACUUUUGCAUGUGGAUAGAUGACAUCCAAAGGGCUUGUUUGUUUGUAUGCAUGUGGGUAAAGUCUGAAGAUGAAUUUCAGAUCACAAAAAUAAGCAGAGGUUCUCAGACCUGGGAUCUUUUUCAUAAACACAACCUCAAAGAGGGAGCUGAGUAAGGCCUGCAAGAAGACCAAGUCUUCACAGCAACUGUGAAGCCACCUGUCAGUUGUACAGCUGGGUGAGGGCGAGAGAAAUCUUUUGAAAUAAAGGGAGUAUUAGAAACAUGCCUCUUUUUUUCUCUUUUUGUUUCAGUUGACUUAUUCCUUAAAGUCUGCAACUGUGUGGUUCUGUUCUGAAUUUGGAAAAUAAAUGCUUCUGCUUUAAGCUUGCUAACACUAAAACAAGAUUCAGAAUAAUGGGCUGACACCAAAGGCAUCCUAUUCCUUUGUGUUAGCCAUUCUCAAAGCUCAUACCAAUUUGGAUUUUAAAGACUAGUAGAUCCUCAACUUCCUCACCCAAUAUCCGAGGAGUAACAAAGAGCAUCAUUACGUAUCUGUAUGGGACAGUUCAAAGAUGGGCAAUGCAAAGAGGCGUGUGGAAGAAGCGAUCACCACUUGCCAGCAGCAGUCUCCAGUAUGUGACAGGAUAAUGGAGAAUGCAUAAACCCUGAUGUCUCAAAGGGGUAAGUUAACAACAUCAUAUCAAGUGUAUUGAUCAGGUGACAACAGUCACAUGUAGACCCCAAGAAGACAUUCAAAGCUAGUCUGGGUACAGAACAAAUUGAUGGAAGGGCCUCACACAAGAUUUACUUUGGGAUUUCGGGCUGAUUUUGGGACAACAGCUCCAUGCAUCACUGAUAUCCCCACUGAUGCCAAAAGGUCACAUUUUUCAUUUAAAGGCUAAGUUCUUUGUGAUGGAACACUACAAACAAACUUGUUACUCAAUCCCUGACAAUGUGGAAGAGUUAAUCUGGGUUCUUCACCCUCCGUCCCAGCCUCUGCCAGACUUUGUUCCCAUUAGAGGUACAAAAUCAUUCAUUAUAUCACUAGGAAAACACACAAAACAAAACAAAAACCAAGCACACAUACCAAACAGCUGUAAACAAAUCAGAUUAAGCUCGCAAACUGAAACACAGACACAUUGCACAAAGAACAGGAAGCAGGCAAAGUGCUCUGCUGACCUAGUAGUAAUACUGCAUUGCUAAGCACACUGGGAAAUGUGGGAAAGUUUGGUUUAAUCCUCCUCUCAUUUCUUCCUAAUCAGCUUUCUCCCCUCCCCCUCACUACUAAUCAGUCCCAAGACUUAAAAGUUAUUUGCAUUGCUUCAGUUGCCAGAUCCAUUUAAUCUAGGCAAAUUAUUUUAACAGGUUUUAAUCUAUUUCCAAGCCAUUUUCCCAUGGAAUACAGCAGCAUUCAAUUCUUUUGUCCUGAAGUGACUGAAAUUCAGUAUACCACAGCAAAAGAAAAGCUACAAUGCAAUCCUGACUGCCUGCUCCACAUCUCUUCCA
ensembl:lncRNA